rnacentral:rRNA from 1 species
ACACGACUACAUUAGAUACCCGUGUAGUCCUAGCCGUAAACGAUACUCGCUAGGUGUCGGCCACGGUGCGACCGUUGUCGGUGCCGUAGGGAAGCCGUGAAGCGAGCCACCUGGGAAGUACGGCCGCAAGGCUGAAACUUAAAGGAAUUGGCGGGGGAGCACCACAACGGGUGGAACCUGCGGUUUAAUUGGACUCAACGCCGGGAAGCUCACCGGAUAAGACAGCGGAAUGAUUGCCGGGCUGAAGACCCUGCAUGACCAGCUG